rnacentral:lncRNA from 1 species
AUCUCACCAGAGCUGCUCUGCCCCAGCUCCCAGGCAAGACUUUCCACACCGUGCUGCCAGGCCAGCAAGAGAAGAGGCUCAGGUCCGUCCGUGGGCAUCUGAGUAAUUCAUCCACACCAGGUCGCUUCCAAACAACUGCAAGCCAUAGAUACUGGUCAGCGUCUACAGAGCACACACAUCCCACUGCAUCGCCCUGGGCUCGAGGGGAGCCCACCAACCCCGACUCCUCUGUGAGGUCACCCUGCCAGGCUUCCUCAAGCUCUGGCCUCCUUCCUGGAUCUUCGCACGUUCUAGUGAAAAUGUAAGGUCCAGUGGACUGGUCACCCUGUGGGGGACACAAAGUCCCCAGAGAGCACUCUUGAGGAGAGUCACCCAGCUGGGUGUAGUGGCGCAUGCCUGUAAUCCCAGCACAUGGGAGGCUGAGGCAGGAGGAUUGCCACAAGAUCGAGGCCAGUUUAUGCUAUAUAAUGAGUUCAACGCCAAUCUGAACUACCCAGGGAGCCUCUCAAAAAAAAAAAAGUCAUUCAAUGUAGUUCCACCAUCCAAGUUAAAUUUGGGAAUCUGUAUAUUCUAUUAAAAUAUAUAUGUAUGUAUUAACAGUUCUGAGAAGUCAUAUGAGUAUGCCCUUUUCCAACUUUUCCAAAUCUAGCUUGAUAUAGAACAUGGAAAUCUUUUUUUUUUUUUCAGUUUUGAGAGCAUCUCAGGGUAUCUCUGGAUUCCAGGCUGGACUUGAACUCACAAUGUAGCCCAGGCUGGCCUGAAACUUGUGUUGAUCCUCCUGCCUCUGCCUCCUGAGUGCUGGGAUUACAGGUGUGUGCCACCACACCUACCUGGAACUCUCCAUGUAACACGUAUUAUAGGUCAAGGAACUAAUUAAUGUCUUUGGAAUAUAUUUUAGGAAAUGAUCUAACUGGUGUUCCGUCUAGGGAGGUGCCUCAGUCUCGGAGGUCACAACGGAAAACGCCCAUGGCAACCGGCGAGAGUGUGUUUGAGCAACAAGGUAACUCCUGCUGCCCCAGCCUCCCGCCCUCUGAGCCACGAGAGCUCCGGCGGGCUGAGCCCCAUCCCUUCCUCUCCUCUCCCAGCCCAGGAGCACUGGCGCAGACAUUGCUUUGGUGCCGGCUCCUCUUCCCCUUCCUCUGCGAGGCAGUGCGCCACGUGUGUGUUCUCGUUUCCUCUUUGAACGAGGCUCGUCACCCCGCCAGCCACCUGUCAGCUGGAAACGCACCUUCGGAGCACCGCGGCGGCAUCCCUGGACGUCAGGGGACCUAGGGACACAUGUCCCCACCUUUGCAGUUUUCCAUGACUGCCAGAAACCACUCCUGCCUCAAAGCCCUGGGGAGUGUUUCCUGCAGAAUCACAUCUUGACUCUUUCCUUCACGGGUCAGCAGAAGCCUGAGGAGCACAAGAGACUCCAAUUUCCCAAAGGAGAGGCAGGGAAAGAGCCCAGGCAGAGAGUCCCCAGUCCUAGGUGAGCCGCCGGUUCUCCUCACCCUGUCCUGUUUCAGCAGUGCAGCUCCAGUGGAGCAGGGCCGAAGAGCCGGCGUGACAGAGGGCCGGGGCUGUCUGCCUGCCGCUGGAUCUGCCCCCAGAGACUCCCUGAGAGCCUCCCGGUCUGUGCCUCACCUGACUGAGCAGGCUGCAGUCACAGGAGCUGAGAAACCCAAACAGAAUGGGACAUCAAAUCACCAUGGGGUCACUUUUGGUUGUAGGUGUUACCUGUCAGAAUUGCAUCUGCACACAUGGGGUGCACUCUGAGUGGAGGGGAGGAGAGGAGUACAGAUACAGCCUGUGCAAAAGAAGCCAAGGGGAGGAGCUGUUGGUACAGAGAGGAGGGGCCCUGUCCACUGGGCAGCGGGCCAUCCCAGGGGACCUGCAGCAGGGAGACCCAGAAGUCCUCUGUCUGAGGCUGAAUCUAAAACCGGAAGUCCAAGACUCUGGUUUGUGUGAAACUCUGCUAUAGUUUGGAUGUGGGUGUCCUGCAAAGGACCCGGGUCAAAGGCAUGGCUGCCAGCCUCUGGAGCUCCUGGGUGGGGGGAACUUUAGGAUGUGCCGCUGCGUGGAAGGAAGCCUGGUUGCUGGGGCUGUGUCCUUGAAAGGAUGCUAGGACCAUGGCCCCUUCCUUUCCCCCUUUUGCUUUGAGGUGAGCAGCUUUUCUUUGCCGUGGGUUCCCGCCAUGGUGUGCAGUGCUGUCACAGGCCCAAAACCACAGGGCCCGGUGACCACAGACUGCAACCUUUGAAACCGUGAGCCUUAAUAAAUCCUUACAGCAACAGAAAGCCAACUUCCCCAGACUCUUAGCUUAGUCCCCCCAUCCCCAAAGGGGAGACCCUGGAACUGGGCUGAGCGGGAUAACUGACACACGUGGCCCGAAGAUGUGUCACACGAUGUGGCAGAAAAUUCAGACCCAAAGUUUAUCACUUGGGAGAGUCACAGAGUGAUGGCUUCUUUUAUGAAAAUAAAAGCAGAAGAUGUCGUUAAACUGGGCUGUCGUGGCCAAAUGGACUGUGUCACGGAGCUGAGUGUGCGCGUCACAGUUCUGUUACAUGGAGGCUGGGUGCUAUGGGCCAUGAGUGUGGUCCGUUUUCCUACAGUACGAGGACUCCUCCAUAUACCUGGCGCCAUCAAAAUGAUUUUCCGUGCUUGACCUCCCUGACUCCUAUGAGUGCUGGAAUUUACAACCCUGCUCAAGGCACCAGGUUGAGCCAGGAUGGUUUCUGAAGAACAGGACAGAAACAUUUUAAAAAGCUCCUUAAUUCAAACCACAGAGCAAGAGGAGCUGAGUGGCUGAUGGAGCUGGGAGGAUGCCCAGGUGGUGCCAGGACAGGAGGAAGGGCAGCAGGAACCCGGGAGAAUGACAACUCUUCUGCUGUCUCUGCCUGACUUUCUACAUUGGCCCCAUUCUCCUGUCCAGAGAUGCCUUGGAAAAAGCACUUUCUUCACUUCCAAAAGUCAGUCCCAGGGAUGGAUGCUGGCCUCCCUUGGGUCAUAAAGGACCGCUGCAGACUGCCUUCUUUUUUUUUUUUUUUUUUGGUUUUGGUUUUUCUCCGGUACCGGGAACCGAACUCACAUCCUUGCGCUUGCCAGGCAGGCGCUUUGCCGCUGAGCUAAAUCCCCAGCCCCCUGCCUUCUUUUUAAAAUCAAGUAUUUAUCAAAUAUCAGAUAUCAUAUAAAGAGCAGCUGGUCCCCAUUUAAGCAGGUUACAAAUACUAACAUAUUUAAUAUCUAUUUUUCUAAAAAAACCUGAGUUCGGUGCCGUUACUCACUCUGGUUAUAACGGACAGGAGCUCACUCCUGUCACAGUGGCAUUAAUCCGUUCAUGGGGACAGAGCUCUCCUGACCCAACCACCUCUUGAGGACCCCACUUCUCAUCCUGUUGCAGUGGGGAUUAAGUUUCUAACACAGACUCUGAGACACACUUUCAAACCAGAGCAGAAAUGUUAUAAUAGUUGCAAGAUAAUUCACAUAAAUUGGAACCCAGAUUUGGAAAGACUAGAAUAAGUGAAAGUGAAAAGAUAAUGACGAUGACUGUAAACCUUGCAGUUAGAUUUUAAAAAAGAUGUUCUGCUGGGAGGAACACUUAGUUUCACAGCCUGGGGGCUGGCGUUGACUGCAAAGGCUUGGGAUGAGCUCACAGGCAGAGCUCUGAGUACCGAAGUCUCCAGCUCACCCUUGAUGGCAGGGAUGGGCGAGGGUCCAGAACCUGGACAGGCGUCCUUCCACCUCUCCGCAGUCCGAGCACUGGUCCUGCACCCUGUCCAGCCCAGAACUAGCAAAUGGAGCCCAUCCAGGGAAAGACAGGGUCUGGGAAAGUUUAACUUGGACAAGAGGAGACUUGGAGAGGCCUGAUAAUAACUAUAAUAGUCAUCUGUCAUCGUGUGAAAACCACACCUAAAACUUACGGUCUUAAAUCAACAAUAACCAUUCACUUGCCCACAAUUCUGCAGUCUGGGCUGCGGAGCUUCUCUCUGCCCGCUGGGGUGUAGGUGUGAGCUAGGGUCACACGAGCACUUGGAGCCAGCUGGCAGGGCCACUGUGGCUGGAGGGCCCAUGAUGGUGUCCUGCUCAUGUCCACUGCCACAGCUGGGAUGGUGGCAACCUCUGGGGACUGACUGUACCCCUGUCCUCAUGCUCCCUCCGCCCCUCCUACACAUGGCCUCCCACCCGCAGGGAGGGCGGCCCAGACCUCUGGCUUCUCAGGGAAACAGGACAGUGCGUGUGGCUGCUACGGGACUCUUACCGCCUGGGCCCAGCAUCUCAGUCACUUACCAUGCACCAAGCAAGUCCUACCACCAGCCCAAGCACAGCGAGGAAAAUGACCACACACAAGCGUGAAUUCAGAGUGGGACUGCUUAGAAACUAAUUGGUGGCAAUUCAUCAAAAGAACUACUAUUGAUUAUUUCUAUAGUUUGACAUUUUACAAAGAACAUUUCCUUAGCCGGGCGUGGUGGUGCCUGUAAUCCCAGCACUCAGGAGGCUGAGGCAGGAGGAUCGUUGCGAGUUCAAGACCAGACUGGGCUACAAAGUGAGCUCAAGGCCAGCCUAAACUGCAUAGCAAGACCCUGUCUCAAAAAGACCAAAAAAAAAAAAUCUACUUGCAUUGACUUAUUUGAUCCUUAUCACCAAAUUGGGAUAUGGUUAAUGAUAUGUUGCACAAAAAAAAAAACUCCUAAUUUGUAGCAUUUGCCAAUUUCCCUGGUGUAAAUACUCCUACAAUGCCAACUGCAAGUGAAGGAAGUGAGAUCACUGAGUGCUGAGGUGG